GACAUGCUCCUUAGAUCCAUCUCUGGGGAAAUGUCCAAGUCUGAAGCUGCUCUCCAUCUUUUAGAUGUUGUGUAGUUUCAGUCUGGCAGUUCCCAGCAGCUUUUUUGCUGUACAGUUGGAGGUGCUUGAGUCAUUGGCAUGUCAGAGCAGUCUACCUGCACCUCUAGCCCCACUGCUGCACUGGACCUUCUUAUGGAUGCCACCAGUGUAGCAAUGCUGGAGAGCAGACAAA